ensembl:misc_RNA Y_RNA Y RNA
UGCUGAUCUAAGUGCAGUGGUGUUUACAACUAAUUGAUCACAACCAAUUACAGAUUUCUUUGUUUCUUCUCCUCUCCCACUGCUUCACUUGACCAGCCUUUU